rnacentral:rRNA from 1 species
GAUGAACGCUGGCGGCGUGCCUAAUACAUGCAAGUCGAGCGAACAGAUGAGGAGCUUGCUCCUCUGACGUUAGCGGCGGACGGGUGAGUAACACGUGGCUAACCUACCUAUAAGACUGGGAUAACUUCGGGAAACCGGCGCUAAUACCGGAUAAUAUAUUGAACCGCAUGGUUCAAUAGUGAAAGACGGUUUUGCUGUCACUUAUAGAUGGAUCCGCGCCGCAUUAGCUAGUUGGUAAGGUAACGGCUUACCAAGGCAACGAUGCGUAGCCGACCUGAGAGGGUGAUCGGCCACACUGGAACUGAGACACGGUCCAGACUCCUACGGGAGGCAGCAGUAGGGAAUCUUCCGCAAUGGGCGAAAGCCUGACGGAGCAACGCCGCGUGAGUGAUGAAGGUCUUCGGAUCGUAAAACUCUGUUAUUAGGGAAGAACAAAUGUGUAAGUACCUAUGCACGUCUUGACGGUACCUAAUCAGAAAGCCACGGCUAACUUCGUG